rnacentral:rRNA from 1 species
UACGAAGGGGGCGAGCGUUGUUCGGAAUUACUGGGCGGAAAGGGCGCGCAGGCGGCUCUGAAAGUCAGAUGUGAAAGCCCCGGGCUUAACCUGGGAAUUGCAUUUGAUACUCUGGAGCUUGAGUACGGGAGAGGAGAGUGGAAUUCCCAGUGUAGAGGUGAAAUUCGUAGGUAUUGGGAAGAACACCGGUGGCGAAGGCGGCUCUCUGGACCGUAACUGACGCUGAGGCGCGAAAGCGUGGGGAGCAAACAGG